CAUAUGCUUGUCUCAAAGAUUAAGCCAUGCAUGUCUAAGUAUAAGCACCCUUAUACUGCGAAACUGCGUACAGCUCAUUAUAUCAGCAAUUAUUUAUUUGAUGGUACCUUACUACAUGGAUAACCGUGGUAAAUCUAGAGCUAAUACAUGCGUAAAAUCCUAAUCUCACGAGAGGGAUGUAUUUAUUAGAUACAAAAACCAAUGCAUCUUCUUCGGGGGGUGGUUUUAUUGGUGAUUCAUAAUAACUUUACGAAUCGUUUUGCCUUGUGCUUCAUUCAAAUUUCUGCCCUAUCAACUUUCGAUGGUAGUAUAGAGGACUACCAUGGUGGUAACGGGUAACGGAGAAUCAGGGUUUGAUUCCGGAGAAGGAGCCUGAGAAACGGCUACUACUUCUAAGGAAGGCAGCAGGCGCGCAAAUUACCCAAUCCCGACACGGGGAGGUAGUGACAAAAAAUAACAAUAUCGAUAAUUAUUUUUAUUAUAAUUGGAAUGAGUACAAUCUAAAUCCCUUAACGAGUAACAAUUGGAGGGCAAGUCUGGUGCCAGCAGCCGCGGUAAUUCCAGCUCCAAUAGCGUAUACUAACGUUGUUGUGGUUAAAAAGCUCGUAGUUGGAUUUCUGGUGCGUUGAGACUGACCCGCUGGGUUUCCCAAGUGUGUGUCGGUUCUUAGCUACCAUCCUUCCAGAGAACUUGCUCUACCUUUUACUAGGCCGGGCCCGUGACCUGGAUCGUUUACUUUGAAUAAAUUAGAGUGUUUAAAGCAGGCUUACGCUGUGAAUACAUUAGCAUGGAAUAAUAAGAUAGGACUUUGGCUCUAUUUUGUUGGUUUCUAGGACUGAAGUAAUGAUUGAUAGGGAUAGUUGGGGGUGCUAGUAUUUGACGGCCAGAGGUGAAAUUCCGUGAUUCGUCAAAGACUAACUAAUGCGAAAGCAUUCACCAAGGAUGUCUUCUUUAAUCAAGAACGAAAGUUGGGGGAUCGAAGACGAUCAGAUACCGUCGUAGUCUCAACCAUAAACUAUGCCGACUAAGGAUGAGUGAACGUUGCAUUUUCGACUUCAUUCGCACUUUAUGAGAAAUCAAAGUUUUUGGGUUCCGGGGGGAGUAUGGUCGCAAGGCUGAAACUUAAAGGAAUUGACGGAAGGGCACCACCAGGAGUGGAGCCUGCGGCUUAAUUUGACCCAACACGGGAAAACUUACCAGGUCCAGACAUAGUGAGGAUUGACAGAUUGAAGAUCUUUCUUGAUUCUAUGGUUGGUGGUGC
rnacentral:rRNA from 1 species